rnacentral:rRNA from 1 species
ACAAUGGCAGGUACAGAGGGAGUGCUACCGGGCGACCGGAUGCGGAUCUCGAAAGCCUGUCCCAGUUCGGACUGGAGUCUGCAACCCGACUCCACGAAGUUGGAUUCGCUAGUAAUCGCGCAUCAGCCAUGGCGCGGCGAAUACGUUCCCGGGCCUUGUACACACCGCCCGUCAAGCCAUGGGAGCCGGGGGCGCCUGAAGUCCGGGACCGCGAGGACCGGCCUAGGGCGAAACUGGUAACUGGGGCUAAGUCGUAACAAGGUAUC